GCUUGUCUCAAAGAUUAAGCCAUGCAUGUCUAAGUAUAAGUACAAUACGGCGAAACUGCGAAUGGCUCAUUAAAUCAGUUAUAGUUUACUUGCUCGGUUCAACGAUGUGGAUAACUGUAGUAAUUCUAGAGCUAAUACAUGAUAAAGCCUUGACUUAGCGGAAGAGGCGCACUUAUUAGAAGCAAACUCAAUAGGGGCAACCCUUAUAGUGUGAGUAGGAAUAAGCAUAAAGCGGAUCGCAUGGCCUUGAGCCGGCGACCAAGCAAUCAAGUUUCUGCCCUAUCAACUUUGGAUGGUAGUGUAUUGGACUACCAUGGUUAUAACGGGUGACGGGGAAUUAGGGUUCGGUUCCGGAGAGGGAGCCUUAAAAACGGCUACCACUUCCAAGGAAGGCAGCAGG
rnacentral:rRNA from 1 species